ACUGUCUAGUCUGACAUGCCUUAAAAUGGGACACACACACACACACAUAAAAGACUGAGAAGAGUUCAAGGGUCAACCUGGGAAGAGAUAGUGGGAUUCCAUAUAAGGAAGAUGCAAUUGUCCAUAUUUGACCUCCUCCACAUAUCAAUACUGAUGGUGGAGCAGCAGGUUGUGUGUUCUGGGAUUUUGGUUCGGUCUCUAAUUAAAGUGUUAACCUCCCCCUAAUCCCAGACCACUCACCUCCCAGCAUCCAGGGAGGGAAAAGUCUACGGAGGAGAGGGAAACCAGGAGGGAACCUCUACUACUCUGGAGGGAAAACAGAGCUGUGUCUAACCAGGGAUGGAAGAAACAUGGACACUUCCUGGCCAAUCAAUCUUUGUUAAACAUGUCUAUGUUCUAAAUUACAAUAAUUUGCAGUAAUUACAUAUGAAUGAAAUAAUGAGUAUUCAUAUAAAGGGAUUUUAAAGAUGGCAUUGAACUAGAUACAAAUAAAAAAAAUCAAUUUGACAUACAACUGGGCAAUAAAAAUUAGUUUUAUUCCUA